UACGUAUGGCGCAAGCGUUAUCCGGAUUUACUGGGUGUAAAGGGAGCGUAGGCGGCGCGUUAAGUCUGAUGUGAAAACCCGAGGCUCAACCACGGGAGUGCAUUGGAAACUGGCGGGCUGGAGUGCCGGAGAGGUAAGCGGAAUUCCUAGUGUAGCGGUGAAAUGCGUAGAUAUUAGGAGGAACACCAGUGGCGAAGGCGGCUUACUGGACGGCAACUGACGCUGAGGCUCGAAAGCGUGGGGAGCAAACAGG
rnacentral:rRNA from 1 species